rnacentral:misc_RNA from 1 species
GUCAUUGUUGGUUUGUUGAAGUAGAUAGAACACUAGAUGAUUUAUCAAUUCACUGUGAUUACUUAUUGGAGGCAUUGGAAACGGAUGAAUUUAAUGUUUGUUGCUUGUUUAAAAUAAUAUUUGAUGGUUUGAACCCUAAUAUAAUGAAUUUAGUUGAUACAUGUUAUAGGUUAUUUCAGUCAAUUACCUCCCUUUGAAAAACUGUUGAUUUUAUUUUGUAUGAAGACAGCUCCUAAUCCUGUAUUUGUUGAAUGUUAUUAAACAGGAAUGCAGUUUAUUUCAAACUGAAGUGGCAACUUUAAAAAUGAAUGAGUGUGCUUUUAUAGAAGUUUGUGUCCAGUUAAUGUUUUGAUUUUAUUAUCAUUUGUCAGUUUUAUGUGUUUAUUAACAUACCACUAAUGUACAGUAAGUGAAUAAAUAACGAAGUGAUCGAUGAUGUAUGAAUGGGGUUCUGUUUACAUACAAACCCAUCUCCCAGCGCAGAAAUAGUGCUAUGAGUUUUGUCUGACAAUGGCAAUCUCCAAUUUCUGUUCCUGUUGUGUGAAUGAUUGAAUGUGUUUGUGUGCUUGAUUUUGAAGUUGCCAUUUGUAGCGUUUCAUGACACAAGUUAGGAAUUUAGACAUACUGAAAACCAUAGGUUUUUUUUUACUGGAUUGAUAUUUAUGGUCGUUGGGUCUGCUGUCAUGUUGGGUUUUUCAGAUUAAUGUCAUACUGUAUCCUACUUGCUAAAUGAGAAAAAAGAGUUUAUUUGGCCUGCUUACUGCUUGUCGUUAAUGAUUAGUGUUUGUACAAUAGUUACAAAAUAAAAGGCUUUGCAUGU